GACGAACGCUGGCGGCGUGCUUAACACAUGCAAGUCGAACGGAAAGGCCCUGCUUGCAGGGUACUCGAGUGGCGAACGGGUGAGUAACACGUGGGUGAUCUGCCCUUCACUUCGGGAUAAGCCUGGGAAACUGGGUCUAAUACCGGAUAGGAGCCAUUUUUAGUGUGAUGGUUGGAAAGUUUUUUCGGUGUAGGAUGAGCUCGCGGCCUAUCAGCUUGUUGGUGGGGUAAUGGCCUACCAAGGCGGCGACGGGUAGCCGGCCUGAGAGGGUGGACGGCCACAUUGGGACUGAGAUACGGCCCAGACUCCUACGGGAGGCAGCAGUGGGGAAUAUUGCACAAUGGGCGCAAGCCUGAUGCAGCGACGCCGCGUGGGGGAUGACGGCCUUCGGGUUGUAAACUCCGUUCGCUAGGGACGAAGCUUUUUGUGACGGUACCUAGAUAAGAAGCACCGGCUAACUACGUG
rnacentral:rRNA from 1 species